GCCCGCCUAGCUCAAUCGGAUAGAGCGUCAGACUCUUACCCACGGCGGACAAUCUGAAGGCUGCGAGUUCGACUCUCGCGGUGGGCU